AUGUGCGAUCAUACAAGCACUAAUGCAUCGGAUCCCAUUAGAACUGUGCAGUUAAGCUUGCUUGGCUGAAAGUAGUUCAAGGAUGGGUGACCUCUUGGGAAGUGCUCGUGUUGCACCUU
rnacentral:rRNA from 1 species